rnacentral:lncRNA from 13 species
CGUAAAAAAUGGUUUAAGAGAGAAUAUCAGGUGCCAGCUCCUCAUUCAGACAGCUUUAGUCAGAAGUAGUGUGGCCUGAGCGUAGGUUGUUGUUUCUACCUGACUCAUUGACUUAUUUAAUAACUUUAUCAGGUAUGCAUUUUAUCCAUUGCCGAAGACACAAUACAAAGAUGCCAAGAUUGAGAACCUGAAAGAGGGUUAUGCUGCUGAGAACCUGAAAUAAAGUCGUUCCGCUGUGACAGUGCACAAGGAUGCUCCAGCAGACCUCCCAGUGAGAAAUGAAAGCAUCAAGCCCACUUUAAAAAGCUGGCAAGACCUCUUAGGGAGUUCCAGGUGGAUGGGAAGAGGAGCCCAAAUGAGUUCAUCACCAGAAGCAGGCUUCAGAUGAGAAGCUACUGCGGUAAGCCUGUCUCUGCUUCUCAGCUAGUUUUAGAAGUGGCAUUCUUACCAUCCUUGGAACAGUACUCGGUCAGGCCCACUUUGGCCUCUGACAGUACGGAGUUGACGAGUCAGCCUCUUUUUAUGUGAAAACAUCUAUCAUGUCUCCCCAAAGACUUGACUAAACAUUCUUCUGAUAUGAGGUAAUUAUUUCUUAUUUGCUGCAUUUGUUGUGAACACUGAUAAUCUCGUGAAGAUCUAUUAUGUGUCAACUUACUCCUUUCUGAUCUACUUAACUAGUGGAUGCCAUCUUUAGAUGUAUGUGUUGUAGUGG